AAAAUAAUUUAUUAUGGUUAAUAAAAUUUAUUUUAAAUUUAUUUUACAUAUAAAUUUUAGUGUGAAAUUUUUAUUAUUUUAAAAAUAAUUAAUUUAAAAAUGUAGUAAUUUAUAUUGAAAAUUUAAGAAAUUAAGAUUUAGUAAUAUAAAAAUUAAUAACAAAUUUUGUGCCAGCAGUUGCGGUUAUACAAAAAUUAAAUUAAAUUUUUUUAGAAAUUAAUUAAUAAUAAAUUAAAUUAAAUUAAAUAUUUUAUUAUUAAGUGAAAUUUUAAUAAAAUUAAAUUUUAAAAAAAAUUAUGAAUUAAUAAGUUAUAAUUUAAACUAGGAUUAGAUACCCUAUUAUUAAUAAAAUAAAAAAAUUAUGCUAAAAUAGUAGAUAAUUAUUUAUUGAAACUUAAAUAAAUUGGCGGUAUUUUAGUUCAUUUAGAGGAAUCUGUUUAAUAAUUGAUAAUUCACGAAUAAAUUUACUUAAUUUUUUAUUUUGUAUAUCGUUGUUAAAAAAAUAUUUUUAAAAAAAAAUAAUAUUUUAAAAUUAAAAUUUAAAUUAAAUCAGAUCAAGAUGCAGAUUAUAAUUAAGAAUAAUAUGGAUUACAAUAAAUUUAUUUAUAAUGAAUAUUUAUUUGUAAAAAUAAAUUGAAGGUGGAUUUAAAUGUAAUUUUAUAUAAUUUUAUAAAAUGAUUAGAAAUUAAAAUAUGUACAUAUUGCCCGUCGCUUUCAUAAAUAAGUUGAAAUAAGUCGUAACAAAGUAGAGGUACUGGAAAGUGUUUCUAGAAAGAU
rnacentral:ncRNA from 1 species